GAUGAAGAACGCAGCGAAAUGCGAUAAGUAAUGUGAAUUGCAGAAUUCAGUGAAUCAUCGAAUCUUUGAACGCACCUUGCACCCUUUGGCAUUCCGAAGGGUAUGCUCGUUUGAGUGUCAUUGUACUCUCACUCUCCCGAUCUUUGGAUCGGGAGUGGUGGACUUGGGUGUUGCUGCUCUACCGUGGCUCACCUCAAAUGGAUUCGUGCAACUCCUGGUUGGACAUAGUACGGCGUGAUAAGUGUCUUCGCCGGCACCUCACUAGAGGGUGGCUGACCGGGAGCUCUUUGCUUCAAACCGUCUUCGGACAACAACUGACAACUUGACCUCAAAUCGAGUAGGACCACCCGCUGAACUCAAGCAUAUCAAUAAGCGGAGGA
rnacentral:misc_RNA from 1 species